ACCCGUACGAUCUCUGAAGUUAAGCAACCUCGACCCUGUUCAGUACCUAUAUGGGUGACUGCUUGCGAAUACCAGGUACUGUAAG